UAUAUAUGUUAUUGGUUUCCUAAUGCUUAGUAUAGUAGUCGUGGAUCACAUGAUAAUCACGUGAUCUCGAAUAUUUUGUAUACGCUAUAUUAGUGUCAUUUUUACGAGUUAGUUUUAUUAACAUUUCUAAUAUAAUUCAGAUCAUCAUUGAUAUGUACUAAAAUUAAGGAAAAUGUAAAACAUUAAUUUCCGGAACCUUCCGAUCUAUUUUUGACCAAUCGGGUUGGAGCGGUCAGUUUAAAUACAAGGCCUUUGUUACUGGUCAGUACAAUAUCAGACAGCUGACAAUCAACAGGUGGAUCAAGUUUUCAAGUUUCUCCAGUAAUCUAUUCCGGAUCAAAAUAUAUAUAAUUGUUGUUGAAAUCAAUUCACAACAAGAAAAUGUAACGGUGAACUCCCAUCUUUACCUUACUUAGGACAAAUGCCAGAAAACACGUGAUGGACAAUAAAUAACAUGGAAUGAAAACAUCUUGUGUAUGUGAUUUUUACAUGUGACAUAUACAAUAGGGCUAAUUAUUUUUACACUGACAUAUAUAAUCUCUGCAUAAAGUAUAAAGGGAGAUACAUUGUAACUACUCCAAAUUUACAAAAGGCCAGAGGUACUGGCACUAGUUAUUUUCCAUGACAAUGAAUUCUCAAGUAUGUUUCAUGUAGCUCCGAUAUAGACUUAAGCCUACUGUACACUUUACUUUUAGUAGUGGCAUUAAGAAUAUUGUGUUGUAAAGAAGAUGAGUACAUUGUGUAUUAUUAUAGUACACAUAAGGGGCGAUAACUUUCCCCAGAUUUCCACCAGUCUAUAGGACAAAUAAGGGGCGAUAACUUUCCCCAGAUUUCCACCAGUCUAUAGGACAAAUAAGCUAAUCCUAGUGAGAUAUAGAAUUACAAUGAAUCUCUGUAUAAUCUAUUAAGCAUGGUGUUAUCUACUUGUGAAUAUUAAAAACAUAACUUUCUAUUAGUAUGAAUUUACAUGCUAUAGUGUAGAAGUUGCCAGUUAUUAUCAAUCAAUAUUCUACUACAUUCAUAUUUUCCAGAUUUUCACAAUUCAUUAUAUGGAAAAGUAAGAAACAAACAAUUAUGUCCAUACAUAUGAUCUGCUCACAUUGUCAUGUUAUAAUUGUAACAUUGCUGUUCACUUGUUUGACCCUCUUGUUACACACUCUCAAGUGUGUCAGAGAGUAAUAAAAAUCUUGAAUCUUGAA